rnacentral:rRNA from 1 species
UACGAAGGGUGCAAACGUUGCUCGGAAUUAUUGGGCGUAAAGCGCACGUAGGCGGCUUGUCACGUCGGGUGUGAAAGCCCGGGGCUUAACCCCCGGGUCUGCAUUCGAUACGGGCUAGCUAGAGUGUGGUAGGGGAGAUCGGAAUUCCUGGUGUAGCGGUGAAAUGCGCAGAUAUCAGGAGGAACACCGGUGGCGAAGGCGGAUCUCUGGGCCAUUACUGACGCUGAGGAGCGAAAGCGUGGGGAGCGAACAGG